CUAGUGACUGAGGUCAACAGGAAGGGUACGCUGCAUUUGUAUCACCCCCAGAGAUCUAACCAGGCUGUUCCCCGUGUUCUAAGGGGGUAUGGGGGCUACACCAUGGGGUUGUACCAUGGGGUCCCCAGAGGAGCCCUUUCUCCUCCCGUGUGACCCCCUGCACAGCCAAGAGGCCGUGGUGCAGGCUCACUUCCUGGGCUGCCCUGUCCUGGCCUGUGCCCUCCUUCUGGGCCCUCCUUCCCUGAGCCCCAGAACCCAGUGGAGAGAUGGGAAGCUGAGGCUUCAGCAGCUCCUGCAGACUCAGCCACUGAGUGGGAGAGCCAUGCUCAAUCACCACAGGUCCUGAGGCCUUCCCCGAGCUGCAUGUCCAGGCGGUGGUGGCAGAACCCUGAGGACCGUGUCCAGAGUCAGUGCAGCUGGACGCAGGCCUCUGGCUCCGACCCCAGGUCCUUGGCACAGUCCAAAGCCAGCCCCACUCUCUUCCCGCUGAGCCUCAAAAGCCGUGACGAAGCCGGGCACAUAGUCAUCGCCUGCCUGGUGCAGGGGUUCUUCCCACCGGAGCCCGUGAACGUGACCUGGAGCCCCAGCAAGGAGGGCGCGUCCGUCAGGAACUUCCCCCCUGUGAAGGCCACAGCCGGCAGUCUGUACACCAUGAGCAGCCAGCUGACCCUGCCAGCUGACCAGUGCCCUGUCAAGUCGUCCCUGAAGUGCCACGUUCAGCACCUCUCCGACCCCAGCAAGGCUGUGUCUGUGCCCUGCCAAGUUCCAGGAGGGUGUCCCCCCCCUUGUCCUUGUCCCUCGUGUGACCAGCCCCGCCUGUCACUUCACCCGCCCGCCCUCGAGGAUCUGCUUCUGGGCUCCAAUGCCAGCCUCACGUGCACGCUGAGUGGCCUGAAAGAUCCCAAGGGAGCCUCCUUCAGCUGGACGCCCUCCGGGGGGAAGGACGCGGUCCAGAAGGCCCCCGAGCGGGACUCCUGCGGCUGCUACAGCGUGUCCAGCGUGCUGCCAGGCUGCGCGGAGCCAUGGAACCGUGGGGUCACCUUCUCCUGCACGGCCACCCACCCCGAGUCCAAGAGCCCGAUAACCAGCAACAUCAGCAAACUCCCAGGAAACACCUUCCGGCCCCAGGUCCACCUGCUGCCGCCGCCGUCGGAGGAGCUGGCCCUCAACGAGCUGGUGUCGCUGACCUGCUUGGUGAGGGGCUUCAGCCCCAAGGACGUGCUGGUCCGCUGGCUGCAGGGGACCCAGGAGCUGCCCCCGGAGAAGUACACGACCUGGGGCUCCCUGAAGGAGCCCGGCCAGGGCGUCCCCACCUUCGCCGUGACCAGCGUGCUGAGGGUCGACGCUGAGGCCUGGAAGCAGGGGGACAAGUUCUCCUGCAUGGUGGGCCACGAGGCCUUGCCCCUGUCCUUCACCCAGAAGACCAUCGACCGCCUGGCGGGUAAACCCACCCACGUCAACGUGUCUGUGGUCAUGGCAGAGGUGGACGGCGUCUGCUACUGAAACGCCCACCCGUCCUCCCUGAAUAAAGUCCGUGUUCACCCGGAGUGACCCCGGGCCGCCCUGAG